ensembl:lncRNA
GGGGUGGAUGGAGGGAUAGAGGGUAUAGAGGAGUGGAUGGAGGGAUGGAUGGUAUAGAGGAGUGGAUGGAGGGAAGGAGGGUAUAGAGGAGUGGAUGGAGGGAUUGAGGGUAUAGAGGAGUGGAUGGAGGGAUAGAGGGUAUAGAGGAGUGGAUGGAGGGAUAGAGGGUAUAGAGGAGUGGAUGGAGGGAUAGAGGGUAUAGAGGAGUGGAUGGAGGGAUAGAGGGUAUAGAGGAGUGGAUGGAGGGAUAGAGGGUAUAGAGGAGUGGAUGGAGGGAUAGAGGGUAUAGAGGAGUGGAUGGAGGGAUAGAGGGUAUAGAGGAGUGGAUGGAGGGAUAGAAGGUAUAGAGGAGUGGAUGGAGGGAUAGAGAGAUGGAGGGAUAUAGGGUAUAGAGGAGUGGAUGGAGGCAUAGAGGGUAUAGAGGAGUGGAUGGAGGCAUAGAGAUUGAGGGAUAGAGGGUAUAGAGGAGUGGAUGGAGGGAUAGAGAGAUGGAGGGAUAGUGGGUAUAGAGGAGUGGAUGGAGGGAUAGAGAGAUGGCGGGAUAGAGGGUAUAGAGGAGUGGAUGGAGGGAUAGAGGGUAUAGAGGAGUGGAUGGAGGGAUAGAGAGAUGGAGGGAUAGAGGGUAUAGAGGAGUGGAUGGAGGCACAGAGAGAUGGAGGGAUAGAGGGUAUAGAGGAGUGGAUGGAGGCAUAGAGAGAUGGAGGGAUAGAGGGUAUAGAGGAGUGGAUGGAGGGAUAGAGAGAUGGAGGGAUAGAGGGUAUAGAGGAGUGGAUGGAGGCAUAGAGGGUAUAGAGGAGUGGAUGGAGGCAUAGAGAGAUGGAGGGAUAGAUGGUAUAGAGGAGUGGAUAGAGGGAUAGAGG